rnacentral:rRNA from 1 species
GACGAACGCUGGCGGCGCGCUUAAAACAUGCAAGUCGAACGAGAACCCAGAGCUUGCUCUGGCGGAAAGUGGCGAACGGGUGAGUAACAUGUGAGAAACCUGCCCCGAAGACAGGGAUAAGCCUUGGAAACGAGGUCUAAUACCUGAUACCUUUUCUUUAUCACAUGGUAGAGAAAAGAAAACUCCGGUGCUUCGGGAUGGUCUCGCGACCUAUCAGCUUGUUGGUGAGGUAAAGGCUCACCAAGGCAUCGACGGGUAGCUGGUCUGAGAGGAUGUCCAGCCACACUGGGACUGAGCUACGGCCCAGACUCCUACGGGAGGCAGCAGUUAGGAAUUUUGCACAAUGGGGGAAACCCUGAUGCAGCGACGCCGCGUGCGGGAUGAAGGCCCUAGGGUUGUAAACCGCUUUCAGUAGGGAAGAAAGUGACGGUACCUACAGAAGAAGCUCCGGCCAACUACGUGCCAGCAGCCGCCGUAA